GAAUUAUUGGAAGACAUGAUUAGUCAGGUUCAUAGAGACUCUCGAAAAAGGGUAUACAUUAUUCAGUAUAGUGUUUGGCACUGCAGGGGGGGGGGGGUGCCUUUCUUAAGCUACCAGCUAACUGUCUAUAGUCCGGACUCUGAUUGGUUCAUCAACGCCAUGCGCCAGUCUGGGCAUCAUUUUCUAUGAGGAAUUACACCUUUUCUUAUCUGUGGAUCCCUACCAUCAAGCUGCUGCUCUGCGUCCAAAGAAUGUCACUGUCGAUGGUCAUGGUGGAGGGAUCCAUUA